rnacentral:lncRNA from 1 species
CACACACAUACUCCUCACCACUCCUGCAGCACAACACGUCGAUAAAAGCUAGAGAAUCUGAGUUUCUUUUUUUUUGUCAAUAUAAGAACCUUGACAGAGUUGAAGAAAUAUAAAAAGAAGACACGUUCAUCACGAGCGACGUGACUCAUCAUCAAACGGCGGUAUUAAAUGAAUAUCAUAAACAGAGCCCUCCCUCCCUCCCUCCCUCGCUCGCAUCUCAUUAAGCGAGUCCCGCUGUAGCUAUAGGUGAAGCCGCCUCUCUCUGCCAUACUGAAGCAGGUGUCCAACAUGGCGAACACUGGCAGCGGCUCUCUCGCGACUAUUCUCUUUUUAUUCAUGUUUCAAGCGGCUCUUCACAAAGUUACAGUGAACCUGAGUGAGCGGAGUGAGAGAGGUGAAGAGGAGCGCAGCGCUUAAGGACUGAGAGAGACUCUGCGCUCACACAAACUCUGAAGAAAUACGUGUGAUCUGCUGAAUUUAUAGAAGAGAAACUACAAAAAAAUAUUGAUCUCAUCACGCUAGUAUCGAUCCGAUACCAAUACUCACCUUGGUAUCGAUACUAUCGAUAUUUGGAUCGAUCUGCCCACCCCUAGCAGCAACAGGAGGGGGAGAGGAGGCAGCUGCAGCGAGCGCAGACUAGAGCGGCCAGAGAAAGUGACUCCGGCCGCAGUAAGGCGUUUGUGCAAAACUGCAGAAAAACUGCAGAAAAAGUGUGGGUGUUGAACCCUCUCACCGGAAAAAGUGUGGGUGUUAAAACACACACAUCCACCACAGGUGCGACGCCCCUGGUUUAAAUGAUAUCAGCGGUGACGGGCUAGUUUUGGUAGCGGCUAAAUUAGCAUGUCGCGAUACUUUGUACAGG